rnacentral:sRNA from 1 species
GCCAGGCAUGGUGGUGCAUGCUUGUAAUCCCAGCACUUUGGGAGGCUGAGGUGGGGGGAUCACUUGAGGUCAGGAGUUCAAAACCAGCCUGGCCAACAUGGUGAAACCCAGUCUGUACUAAAAAUAAUAAAAAUUAGUCAGGCACAGUGGUGCAUGCUUGUAAUCCCAGAGGCCAAGGUGGGCAGGUCACUUGAGGUCAGGCAUUCAAGACCAGCCUGGCCACCAUGUUGAAACCCCAUCUCU